GUGGCAGCUUCAUGAUAGCUAAGGUUGAGUUGGAGGAGAGGAAGUUGGGGGACUGGGCAGGUUCCAGGAAAGGCGUGAGCCACGAGAUGGAACGAAGCAAGACUUCUAAGACAGGGCAGACUUGAUGGCCAACCUGCACCCGUUCAAAAUUGACACACAAAACCAGCCAGGACAAGUUUCUGUUCCAGGGGGUCUGACACCCUCACACGUGCAGGCCAAACACCCAUGUACACAAAGUGAAAAUAAAAUUAAAAAGGAGGGGAAGUUAGGUGGAGCGGUUAGAAUCUCAGACGGGCUAUCGGGUAGCAGAAAAUGGUACCUGCCUGGGAGGCCCUGAGGAAGGGUUGCUAAGGAAACCUGAGUGAGUGGGCAAGAAGGACAUGAGGUGCUUUUUGAGAUAAUCACGUUGGGAACGAGAGGCUUUAGAGAUGUUUGGGUGGUGACAAGGUAGGGGGAAGUCAAUGGUCCUUCAAAAGGUUGGAGACAGUCAUUAAAAAAGGGAAGGGACUGAGGGCUUGUCUUCUAUAGGCAGAGGGUAGGAAUGGGAAAAAAAAAUUAUGUGAGAACUACCUUUUCCAUCCUCCCACCCAUUACCCCCAGGAUGGCUGCAAAGAAGACUUCGGGGAACAAGGAGUCCUCUGGGAAGGGAGAAGGGAGUUUGAGCAUCAGAGACCAGGGCGCUGUGAAGGGAACGGAUGGGGUCACCACCUGCACAUUGCUAGCUCUCACGGGACACUGUAACACUCAUUACUCCUCCCUGGCCACCACUACUCAGCGCUCACAGAGAGCAAAACACCAUGAAGAUUGUUCCAGGGCACGGAGCUUGGCCCAACUCCACAGAGGACUCCUCAAGGGGUCUCCUGAUCUUUAGACUGAAAAAAGAAGGAAGGGAAGGAGGGAGAAGGAGGCGGACCUGUGUUGGAGUCAAUCCCGGGAAUCCAUCUCUCCAGGUCGCCGAGCCUGAAGCCAUCUCCAAACAGGUCUCUUGGACGUCUCAGGCUGUGCAGGGUGAGCUGUUGUGGGAAAGGACACUGAACUCCAGUCAGGACACUUGGCCAUUCUGUGACUACAGUUGCGUCUUUGAUUUGUUUCCUCUUUUGCAAAAUGGGGGUGAUGGAGCUCCCCCCCCCAAGUGGUGCACAGAAGCACCUCAGGGCUCAAGUGAAUGCCAGCUAGGGCUGGGAUCAUCUCCAAGGGCUAUUCCAGCAGAGGCUGCCCUCCCUCCUCAGGACCACUCUCUUUUUGUUAUCCCAGAAGUGCAGCCCCAGCUGGAAGGAGGAGACACGGUGCCUCAGGUGGACACCCAUGCAACCAAUUCGUCCUGGGAAAAAGACAUAAAAUCUCAGAAAUGGCAUAGCCCACCUCUUCCCCAGGGCUGCCAGGCAUGAAAAAUCUUAAGCUCUUGGACACGGGGGUGGGAGGAGCAAAAGCGGGGUUCUUGACACUGCUGAGGAAGCCCCCAGGUGUGGCUGCUACUUACUGCCCUCCAAAGGAAAGAGCAGCGAAGAAGCUGGGGGCUGCAGGCAGAUCCCAGCAGAGAACUGAAGACUGGUUGUAUCCUAGAGAGGGGCUGCAUAACCGCUGAUGUCACCAGAGGAACCUGGAGUCAGCUUCUCUCUCUCCUCUCCCCCUCCCUCCUCCCCUCCCUUCCAUUCCCUCCCUGCUCUGUGUGCACUGGCAAGCACAGGCGUGCUUACACAUGCUCCUGGCAUCUGGAAGCCAGAGGUUGACCUUGGGUGUCUUCUUCAAUCACACUUCUACCUUAUUUUUGUCUUUGUUCUUGUUUUUUGAGACAGGGUCUUACUAUGUAGACCAGACUGGCCUUGAACUCAUAGAGGCAGGCCUGCAUCUGCCUUUUAAGUGCUGGGAUGAAGGUGCUGAAAGUGGGGCUGGAGA
rnacentral:lncRNA from 1 species